CCCUUAGAUGCUCUGGGCCGCACGCGCGCUACACUGAUGCAUUCAACGAGCCUAUCCUUGACCGACAGGUCCGGGUAAUCUUUGAAUCUGCAUCGUGACGGGGAUAGAUUAUUGCAAUUAUUAAUCUUCAACGAGGAAUGCCUAGUAGGCGCAAGUCAUCAGCUUGCGUCGAUUACGUCCCUGCCCUUUGUACACACCGCCCGUCGCUCCUACCGAUUGGGUGUGCUGGUGAAAUGUUCGGAUCGGCCGUUUGUCGCGGUUUCCGCGGCUCAUGGCUGAGAAGUUCAUUAAACCCUCCCACCUAGAGGAAGGAGAAGUCGUAACA
rnacentral:rRNA from 1 species